rfam:Gossypium raimondii chromosome 5, whole genome shotgun sequence.
AGCCCAUGAUGAUGACACUUACGCUAAUUCCUUGAAUCUUUCCUACGCCUUGUAUAAGGAUUCGUCAUCCAAUUGUGAAAAAUUGAUUAUCUUGUUUUGCAACU